rfam:Malassezia globosa CBS 7966 mgl_sf_2.1, whole genome shotgun sequence.
GCGCCAAUGGUUUAGUGGUAAAAUACGGCUUUGCCAUCUUCAUGACGUAGCCGUGCCGGGGGUUCGAUUCCCCCUUGGCGCA